GACGAACGCUGGCGGCGUGCCUAAUACAUGCAAGUAGAACGCACAGUUUAUACCGUAGCUUGCUACACCAUAAACUGUGAGUUGCGAACGGGUGAGUAACGCGUAGGUAACCUGCCUGGUAGCGGGGGAUAACUAUUGGAAACGAUAGCUAAUACCGCAUAAUAUUGAUUAUUGCAUGAUAAUUGAUUGAAAGAUGCUAUUGCAUCACUACCAGAUGGACCUGCGUUGUAUUAGCUAGUAGGUGAGGUAACGGCUCUCCUAGGCGACGAUACAUAGCCGACCUGAGAGGGUGAUCGGCCACACUGGGACUGAGACACGGCCCAGACUCCUACGGGAGGCAGCAGUAGGGAAUCUUCGGCAAUGGACGAAAGUCUGACCGAGCAACGCCGCGUGAGUGAAGAAGGUUUUCGGAUCGUAAAGCUCUGUUGUAAGAGAAGAACGGGUGUGAGAGUGGAAAGUUCACACUGUGACGGUAUCUUACCAGAAAGGGACGGCUAACUACGUG
rnacentral:rRNA from 1 species